AUGGGAUCCUCUGUGCCGAAUCUCUCUGUAGUAGCUCCUGCUACUACUCCACGUCGCACACGACUACAACAAGGGGUAAUUAAACCUAUUGAUUAUAAACAUAUUACAAAAUAUGGGAUGGUAUGUUCGACAGGUGAACCAGGAGAACCCAACACUCUCGAAGAGGCUCUUGGUGAUGCAAAUUGGAGAAAGGCGAUGCAUGAUGAAAUUAUGGCACUUAGGAAAAACAAAACAUGGCACCUGGUUCCCCCACGACAAGGUAAAAAUCUUAUUGACUGUAAGUGGGUCUUCAGGAUAGAAAGGAAGGCUGAUGGAACCAUUGACCGUUACAAAGCUAGACUCGUUGCAAAGGGUUUUAAACAAAGGUAUGGUAUUGACUAUGAGGACACGUUUAGUCCAGUUGUUAAAGCUGCUACCAUACGUCUUGUUUUUUCCAUUGCCGUGUCCAGGGGAUGGAGUCUACGACAGCUAGACAUUCAGAACGCGUUCCUCCAUGGUGUUCUGGAAGAAGAGGCUUACAUGAAACAACCUCCUGGGUUUGUAAAUGCACAGGCACCACUUCAUGUGUGCAAACUUGACAAGGCCCUGUAUGAACUGAAACAGGCCCCAAGAGCAUGGUAUUCUCGCCUCAGUAAAAAGAUGCAAGCUCUUGGUUUUGUUCCUUCAAAGUCUGACACUUCGUUAUUUAUCUAUAACAAGUCAAGUAUAUCCAUAUUUGUUUUCAUUUAUGUUGAUGAUAUAAUUGUGACAAGCUCAUCUGAUGAAGCAAUAACAGCAUUGUUGAAGGAUUUAAGUGCAGAAUUUGCUCUCAAGGAUCUAGGAGAUCUACACUAUUUUCUUGGUAUUGAGGUCAAGCAACACAAAGAUGGUCUUCACCUCUCUCAAGAAAAGUAUGCAACAGACUUAGUAAAAAAGGCUGGUUUGCAAAGUUGUAAGCCUGCACCCACUCCUUUAUCUAGCACAGAAAAAUUAUCUCUUGCUGAAGGAGAGCUUUUGGAUCCAGAAAACAAUACAAAAUACAGAAGCCUGGUAGGUGCACUUCAGUACUUAACACUUACCAGACCAGACAUUUCUUUUGCUGUUAAUAAAGUAUGUCAGUUUCUGCAUGCACCUACUACAGUCCACUUGACUGCUGCAAAGCGCAUAGUAAGAUAUGUGAAGAACACAUUGAGUAUUGGCCUAAAUUUCAGCAAGUCAUCCUCUACACUUAUUAGUGCUUUCUCUGACUCAGACUGGGCAGGAUGUCUAGAUGACAGACGCUCAACUGGUGGUUUGCUGCAUUUUUUGGACCUAAUUUGA
rnacentral:rRNA from 1 species